rnacentral:rRNA from 1 species
CUAACAUGCUGACGUCACGGCCCAAUUCACCCAUAUAGAGAGCUCCCAUUAAUUGGGGGAUAGCCCGGCGAAAGCCGGAUUAAUACCGCAUACGACCUGAGGGUGAAAGGGGGGGAUCGCAAGACCUCUCGCUAUUGGAGCGGCCGAUGUCAGAUUAGCUAGUUGGUGGGGUAAAGGCCUACCAAGGCAACGAUCUGUAGUUGGUCUGAGAGGACGACCAGCCACACUGGGACUGAGACACGGCCCAGACUCCUACGGGAGGCAGCAGUGGGGAAUUUUGGACAAUGGGCGCAAGCCUGAUCCAGCAAUGCCGCGUGCAGGAAGAAGGCCUUCGGGUUGUAAACUGCUUUUGUCAGGGAAGAAAUCUUCUGGGUUAAUACCCCGGGAGGAUGACGGUACCUGAAGAAUAAGCACCGGCUAACUACGUGCCAGCAGCCGCGGUAAUACGUAGGGUGCGAGCGUUAAUCGGAAUUACUGGGCGUAAAGCGUGCGCAGGCGGCUUUUGCAAGACAGAAGGUGAAAUCCCCGGGGCUCAACCUGGGGAACUGCCUUUGUGACUGCAAGGCUAGAGUACGGCAGAGGGGGAUGGAAUUCCGCGUGUAGCAGUGAAAUGCGUAGAUAUGCGGAGGAACACCAAUGGCGAAGGCAAUCCCCUGGGCCUGUACUGACGCUCAUGCACGAAAGCGUGGGGAGCAGACAGGAUUAGAUACCCUGGUAGUCCACGCCCUAAACGAUGUCAACUGGUUGUUGGACGGCUUGCUGUUCAGUAACGAAGCUAACGCGUGAAGUUGACCGCCUGGGGAGUACGGCCGCAAGGUUGAAACUCAAAGGAAUUGACGGGGACCCCGCACAAGCGGUGGAUGAUGUGGUUUAAUUCGAUGCAACGCGAAAAACCUUACCUACCCUUGACAUGCCAGGAAUCUUGCAGAGAUGUGAGAGUGCUCGAAAGAGAACCUGGACACAGGUGCUGCAUGGCCGUCGUCAGCUCGUGUCGUGAGAUGUUGGGUUAAGUCCCGCAACGAGCGCAACCCUUGUCAUCAGUUGCUACGAAAGGGCACUCUGAUGAGACUGCCGGUGACAAACCGGAGGAAGGUGGGGAUGACGUCAGGUCCUCAUGGCCCUUAUGGGUAGGGCUACACACGUCAUACAAUGGCCGGUACAGAGGGCUGCCAACCCGCGAGGGGGAGCCAAUCCCAGAAAACCGGUCGUAGUCCGGAUCGCAGUCUGCAACUCGAUCUGCGUGAAGUCGGAAUCGCUAGUAAUCGCGGAUCAAGCUUGCCGUAGUGUUAGGAGAGCUCUAUGGAUAUAUGUUCAAGCAUACUGCAUGUCAACCGCCAUUGGGAGCUGUCUCCAUAC